AUUGAACUUUUGUUUUGUUUAUUUUCUUUUCCCUCAGAUUUUCCCAAAUUGAUACCAUAGUUGGGCACUUAUUAUGUGCCUUGUGCUGUGCUAAAGAUCUUUGUUGCUGUGAUCUCAUUUAGUCCUCACAGCUGUCUAUGGAAGCAUCUUGGAACUUGUCAAGUUUUACUGGAGGUGAUUUGCAGUUAAUUAAUUCAACAGACACUUUUAAUCUUGCAAAUUUUUGACUUGUAAUAUUGUAAUCAAGCUACUGCAAAGGAACAUUAAUCAGUUAGUGGAAAGGAGCACUUGGUUCAGCAUCCUGCCAUGAUGGGCCCAGGCCUGAAAAGAAAGACCUCUAUGAAGGAGAGAUGAGGGAAUAUGUGCUACCUGGUUCCUCAACACUGAUGCUAUGAAUAUUCAUCCAUUUCCUUUGUUUCUGCCAGCAAGAACUGCUUUGAAGAAAAGUCAAUGGAUUCCUGGGGCUUUUGUAGCUCAGAGUGGGUAUGGGUUAUGGAGACUUGUUUCAAACUGAUUCAAAUCUACAUGUUGGAAAUUUAAAAAUGUCAUUGUUAUCUGUUUAAUAAUUAAUAUUUCUGAAUCUAGUUGCUGCUUUUACUUGAUUUCAAGAGACUUCCAUUGCCAGCAUUGUAAUAGCCUAUUUUUGAAGCUUGAAUUACAAUUCAGCUUCAGAGGUCAAUUCUGAAUGGCUCCAGCUAUUGAAUAAUUUGAUGUCUGCCUUCCUAAGUAGUAACAUUUCCAGUUACAUUUCUAUCUGGAAUCCACUCUCCUGUUGUUGCUUCUCAGAACCCACAAAACCUCGGUUAUGAACUUAAAGAUCACCAAUCUAAUAUGCAAAAGCCUACAUUUUCACUUAGAAGUAAACAGAUGGUCUUGUAAUUAAAAAUCAUCGUUCUUCUCCACUUCUCUUUUUAAAAGAAAGAUAAGAAUGAAGUAGUCAGAGUCAUUAGAGUCAAAAGAGUCCGGCACCCAUGUGUCCUUACAAAGUGUUCUGUCUUAUCUUUUGGUAUCAGUUUUAGGAAUUAGCCCUAGAUAAAUGAAGGGAAGUCAUCAGAUGUAUACAAUAUGCAGUCUUGAAGAAAAAAAAUAAGAGGAAGCAGUGGGGAUCAUUCUUCUUGUGCUCAAAGAUGUUUCUCUUCCCUAAACUAUCAUUUUAAUGUUCCAAAAGGUACUGAAUAAUACUCCCAGUUAUCAGAGCUAGUAUCAUGGCAAAGUCAUUUUUCCGAAGCACUAACAUUGAAUGGCAAAAAAGUGGCCUACUACCAUAUAACUUCUUUUCACUUGCCAGGCAAUGAAAAUCAGAAAGUUGAAGAAAAUGUUCAUUUCCUGAACCCAAGCUAAUAUAAUCCACAAAGAUACUCUGUAACAUACAAUGAGUUGGUUGACUAUGGAGACAAAAGAGCAAUAAAUAGGUCUCUUCAAUAAGACUCCUGGGUGAGAGUGACUACAGCAGUGUUGGGUGCUGAGAGAUGGGGUUUCUAUUAAUGUGGAGCUCUGAGUAUGGUGAUCAAAAAGAAAAUCUGUAGUUGCUCUUCAGAAAUUGUUGCCUUUUUGUAGAGCAGAAAUUAGCAGUAGUCAUUGUCAUUCCAUAAUUAUGACAACAAAUGUUUCUCCUAAUGAAAUCAAGGCCUGACUACAGUGGUAAACUAGAGGGGAAGUUGGUAGCUUUGUUUCUAAGGUUAAUUCUCUCCUUAAAGAAACCUUCCCUUCUGAUGGUUCUUCUCAGUCAUUGACCCCUAUGCUGCUCUGAACACCAAGAUCUUCUGAUGGAUAAUGAGAGGUAUUUUAGAGUUUUUUUAAAAAUUAAAUUCUUUAUUGGUACAUUGUAGGUAUACAGCACAAUUACAUUCAUCAGUGGGAAUUGUACCUUUACAUAAUGCAUCUUGGUUCUUGUUUUUUCCCCAUUCCUAGCCCUCCCUUCACCCCCUCCACCCUUCCCUAUUUACAAAGACUUGAGAUAUUUUAGGUUUAAUAAGUCAUUCCUGCUUAUCUAACAUGAACCAUUUAAGUACCGCUCUUUUAAUAGCAAUGAGAUUCAGGGUUACCUAAGCCUUGCUCAUUGUCCCAUCUAUAUAUAUCAUGAUAUCACUGGAGCCCCUGUGUCCAUUCUCACUCAAUCAGGUUUACCAGUAUUAGACUCUUUUAAAUAUAGUCUGGAUUUUGAUCCUAAAUAUAGUCUGGAUUUUGGCUAGUCUGCAUAUCCAUUCCCAAAUUGGAAAAAUAAUUCUUUUGAGAGUAAUUUUCCGAAUAAUGGAAGUGGAAUAAAAGGACAGUUAAAACAAUUUUUCAGCGUAAACAAAACCACUGGACCAUUGAUAGCCCUGGAACUCUGCUUUUUCCUCAUGACUGUUUCUUUUCAUUUGAGGGCUUUCAACAUUUGAAUUUUCCAGAUGAUUUAGUGAACCAUCUUCACUAAACCAAAGUAGACACUAUGAAGUUAUUAAACAUAAAGACUGUCUACAUGAAUGCAAAUAUCCCAAUGAAAAGUGAAGAAGUCGAUCACUCAAGUGGUAAAUUUCAUCCUCGUGAUAGCAAACAUUUGGAUACUUUAUAGAAAACUCUUGAUGUUUGAAGAAUACAAUUUUCUGUCUGAUUGUCUGAUGUUGUCUAGAUGUACAAGGCAGUGGAAUUGAACUUCUUUGUGCUGUAAUCAAUUACUGGUGAUUUUCUGCUGCUAAUAAUCUCUUUGUUGUGCAAAGAGAAAUAAUGCAGAGUAAAUGCUAUUUGAUUUUUCUUUACUUUCAGCAAAUGCAUGAAUGGGAAAUGUUUGGGAGGCUCAUUGCUAGGUCUAGCAAGGACUGCAGUGCUGUCCUCCUUUGGAGCAGGAGUUCUAGAAGCUCUUUCCAGGGAAGGGACCUUCUUGUUCACCCUUUGCUGUCUUUUAUAAUUUUAUCAUUGCUCUUCUGUUCUUCAUAAAUCUUAAUUCACAGAGUCUACUUGACAAAAUGGUUUAAGGGAAAUACAAAUUUCUUAACGUAUUCUUCAAAUGGAAGUUAUGUUUGUAAGCAUUCUAUUUUGUAAGCUAAAAAUAAUUUAAACUGUGUGACUCAGUUAUUUCAUAGUAAAUUUAUGGUAUCAAGAAAAGGCUACUUUUCCAAAAUCAAACAAAAAACAUAACUGUAGGGGUUUAAUUUGUUGAUCUCAUUGCAAUUGCCAAGUAUUAACUGGUUAUCAUAACAUUAGGGAAUUUAUAUUUUCCUUGUAGUCAUUAUUAUAAUUCCAGAAAAAGAAAAAGAAAAAGUUGACAUCAAAGGGAAAGUCAGUGCCCAGAAGGAAAAUCUGAGAUGCUCAUCCCAGCUCUUGCACCAGUCAUUAUUUGUUGACAUGUCUAACUUAUAACAUUAGAAACAUUAGAAAGUUGAUCUUGUUUCUUCUGAUUUUUUCCUGGGUUGGUGAGCAUGUUUAUUUCCUCAAAUCAUGUGCUUACUUCAUUUACUGAUCUGAAGCUUGGCAGAACAACAGACAAAGUAUUCAGAUCAAUUUUUUGCCCAGAGAAUUUAUGCAGUAGAACUUGCUGUGAGGCAUUAACUAUAUACAGGUACACAGAGCACUGAAAGGUACUCAUCUAUGCAAAGAUCUUGAGAGGGUUUCUAAAGAUAAUCUGAACAUUUUGAAGCUUCUUGGGUAGCAUUUUGAUUGUGUCAAAUUGUAUAUCCAAUGCUAAGUCAGAAGGGGUAGGAAAUGAAGUUCAUUGUUGGGUCCCUCCUUCCCUCAGCUGCAGAAGUUUUCCUCAAAUGAGUCAGUCCUUUACCUGGGAAGCAAAGGCCUCAGCCAGUUGGUGUUAUCACCCUGUGCUAACUGCUCUGCAACCCCACUUUGGAGGGCAGACUGUGCUUGAUACUCAGUUACCUGUGAAAUCCUCCAGAACCAGCAGAUAUGGGUACCAAACUAAAUUGUUUUUGCUUUUCUUUUUCCUCAUGAGUUUUACUUCACUAUAUCCUUUUUCUAAUCUUUUCACUUUUAUGUUCUUGACAGAAUAUUUAGUUAAUUUUACAGCAAAAAGAUAAUUGGCAACCACAAAAAAUUAGCUAUUUUAAAAUUAUCUUUAUGUGAUCAUUGAUAUGGAAUUUAUGCUUUAAUAGAAAAUCAAAAACCCUUAUGUUGAAUACAAUGACUGUUUUAAAUGUAUUUAAACUUAUUCUACAAAAUAAUAUCAUCUUAUCCUAUAGAAUAUAUUCUUUCUUGAUGCAAGGACAUGAGGGCCUAUGCUCCAGUGGUGGAACAAAAGAACUAUGAAUCUGCACACACCUGAGUCCUAAUCCCUGGUCUUCAGCCUCAGAAACUCAGAAACUCACUUCAGCCUCAUUUUUCCCGUAUAGGAAAGGGAGAGAAUAUUUAUUUACCUACCUCAUAGGGGUUUUGUGAAGGUUAAUAAGAGUCGGUACUAUGCCAUGAGGUUAGAAAGCACUGUUAUUCUUCCUAACAGGGACACAAAGGAGAACUUUGAGGAGCACAGAAGGUAGGCUAGGCAGAAGGGUGUUAGAGUUGUCUGAGAAACAUGACAGCAAUAACUAACCAAGCAAAGAACACAAUUAUUCUGCAUCACUUGAUAUAGGUAAAACUUUCCUUCAAAGUUCUGUGUAGAAUUUUUUUUAAAUUGUCAACUUUUUACUACAUUAACUCCUUUGAUAGAGACAUUGGAAUUCUUAUAGAUAGACCAUUUUCCUCUUUACCAAACUGGAUUUUACUAAAUGUUUAUUUAAAUACAUCCAGAAAACCUGAUUUCUGCUGAUGUCUAAGGAGUUUGCAUGUGUGGUCCCAUGCAUUUUCCAGAGCUUCUGCAUGAUACUCCAGCUCAGAACUAAUAAUGGCAAGUGUGCCCUGAAAUCCAUUCUGGGCAGGGGCGGGGAAAUGUUUAACAGAUUUUACUGAAAUUAGAUUUUGAGUCCUUUGAGACAAUGAUCACCCCCUUUAAAGCCCAGUAGAAGAAUGUAAAGCUUUGUUUCUGCUUAUAACUCCUGAGUUGAUUCAUUCUCACAUUAUAAAUGUAUUUUAAAUAUUUCAGAGAAGUGUUACACAAGUACUUCAGCAAUAUAUGGAUAUCCAUGUGCUUUUAUGUGUGUAGAUAUGAAUUCUACUGGAGGACAAAAGAGAUGGCUGAAAACCACCUCAGAGAAUAUUCUGUACAAUUUCCCCAAAGAAAUAUGUUUUCUCUUAUUUAAAUAAUUAAACCUGAUCAGAAUGAAUCCUAAUCACCAUGAUUUGGAAUUAUAAAUAUUUGUAAUUUUUGGGUCACAGAGGCACUAUUGUGAGGUAGGAAUAUAACUAUGAAACUAUACUAACAAUGCAGAUAAUGCUUUAACAUGUGACUUCAUGAAGUAAAGUUGUUGUACCUAAAUAUUAUCGUUGUACCCUUAUUUAAUAAUUAUGCCCUUGUGCAAAACUGUACACCCUUAAAAAUAUGAAAUAGUGUUCAGAAAAUUUACCAUGAGGAGUGGGUUUUAAAUCAUGUCAUGCUUGGAGCUGACAUAAUGUUCACAAUCAGUCUAAUCUCUUCCAGUUUCUAAAAUGUUAUUCUAAAAUCAAAGCCUUAUAAUUUCAAAUAGAACAUUUCUAAUGCAUGAUGUUAAGAUUUCUGAAGCUUUAUUUUAACCUGGGCAAUUAUCUGAUCCAUUUAAAAAUCUGUACUGCCACAGCAUUAAAAUAAGUAUUAUUUUUUAUAAACUAGUAAUAUUAAUAUAGUAAAUCAGAACUAAUUUGAUAUUACUAGCUGCUCCCUUCCCCAGUUUCUACCAGUACCAUCAAUAUUUUUCAAACCAAAAAGUGCAGUAGAAUAUCCUUUUUGCUAUGAAACAAAAAGUUUUUAUUUGCUUUUAUACAAAAAAUAAAGUUAAAUCUUUGAACUUGAUUCAGGGGCUUGGAAUAGAAAGUGGCAGCAUUUUGGGUGGGUUUGUUAGGAUGAGAGGUGGGCAGAGCAAGGAAAAUGUCAGGAAGAGAUUUUAUCACAAAGAGACAAAACAGAAGUAAAACAAACGUGUUAGAGCCUAAAUUCUUCCUCAAACAAAUGAAAAACAAGUAGUGACCAUGUGUUACUUAGAUAUAAGCUAUACACCUAAUUAUAGAGAGAAGGUGACUUUAGUCUCUUAGGCUCCCUAGACCAUGUGGAACUCUCUAAGGCCCAUCCCUGACAAUAAGAUACUGUUAGAAAAACUGAUUUUUAGUAGAGAUAUAUGUAAAGAUAUAAGUAAGAGAUAUAUGUUGUGGACAGGGUGUUUUGUAAACAUCAAACAUAUGAUGAUCUAUAAAGGUAGUUGUCAAGUUUCUUGGCUACUUUUGACUAACAUUCUCUUCCUAAAAAAUGAUUUAAACACACACACACAGACACAGAUGGGGGGGUGAGAGAGAGAGAGAGAGAGAGAGAGGGAGAGAAAGAGAG
ensembl:lncRNA